AGUUUUAUCUUAUUUUACCGAAAUUUUAUAAAACUGCUCAAGAAGUAAUGAGCUUGUCUAAGCAGAAAAAUUGUAUUCUGCAAGCUUUGGAACCCACCGUCUUCUUGGGAGUUCCUUAUUUACAAAAUUCGUUUAAACGGAUUCAGCAAGCCUGUCACGAAGUGUUAUACAAACUAUUUAUUACGUGGAUCAUCUGUGGGAUAGAUUCUAAAGAUCC